rnacentral:rRNA from 1 species
CAGCAGCCGCGGGAAUACGAAGGGGGCUAGCGUCGCUCGGAAUCACUGGGCGUAAAGGGUGCGUAGGCGGGUUUUUAAGUCAGAGGUGAAAUCCUGGAGCUCAACUCCAGAACUGCCUUUGAUACUGAAAGUCUUGAGUAUGGGAGAGGUGAGUGGAACUGCGAGUGUAGAGGUGAAAUUCGUAGAUAUUCGCAAGAACACCAGUGGCGAAGGUGGCUCACUGGCCCAUAACUGACGCUGAGGCACGAAAGCGUGGGGAGCAAACAGGAUUAGAUACCCGCGUAGUCCCUGUCUCUUAUAA